rnacentral:rRNA from 1 species
GAUGAACGCUGGCGGCGUGCCUAAUACAUGCAAGUCGAGCGAACAGACGAGGAGCUUGCCCCUCUGACGUUAGCGGCGGACGGGUGAGUAACACGUGGAUAACCUACCUAUAAGACUGGGAUAACUUCGGGAAACCGGAGCUAAUACCGGAUAAUAUAUUGAACCGCAUGGUUCAAUAGUGAAAGACGGUUUUGCUGUCACUUAUAGAUGGAUCCGCGCCGCAUUAGCUAGUUGGUAAGGUAACGGCUUACCAAGGCAACGAUGCGUAGCCGACCUGAGAGGGUGAUCGGCCACACUGGAACUGAGACACGGUCCAGACUCCUACGGGAGGCAGCAGUAGGGAAUCUUCCGCAAUGGGCGAAAGCCUGACGGAGCAACGCCGCGUGAGUGAUGAAGGUCUUCGGACCGUAAAACUCUGUUAUUAGGGAAGAACAAAUGUGUAAGUAACGAUGCACGUCUUGACGGUACUAAUCAGAAAGCCACGGCUAACUACGUG